rnacentral:rRNA from 1 species
ACGGAAGGCAGCAGUGAGGAAUAUUGGUCAAUGGACGGAAGUCUGAACCAGCCAAGUCGCGUGAAGGAUGAAGGUAUUAUGUAUUGUAAACUUCUUUAGCAGUGGAGUAAUAAGGGGAUCGCGAUCCCUGAUGCAAGUACACUGAGAAUAAGGAUCGGCUAACUCCGUGCCAGCAGCCGCGGUAAUACGGAGGAUCCGAGCGUUAUCCGGAUUUAUUGGGUUUAAAGGGUGCGCAGGCGGAGAUGCAAGCCAGCCGUAAAAUCGUGGGGCUCAACCCCAUUCAGCGGUUGGAACUUCAUCCCUUGAUUGCGGCAGAGGGAGGUGGAACUCGUGGUGUAGCGGUGAAAUGCAUAGAUAUCACGAAGAACUCCGAUUGCGAAGGCAGCCUCCUGGACCGUAAAUGACGCUCAUGCACGAAGGCGCGGGUAUCAAACAGGAUUAGAUACCCUGGUA